CAGCAGGUGGCAAGAUUCCCUCACAUGAGCUGACAGAACUACAGUCUGUAAGCUACUGAAAGGAGGCUAAACAAGAGCCAUCUGUACAACAGGAGAAAACAAGUUGGCUUCUACCAGGAGGUGAAUGACAAGGUGGAGCACCUUUAGUUAACCCAAUGGUCGUGAUUUAGGAUCGGGUUCACCAUUGUCUUACUUACUGGCAUUACCUACAGUUUGCUAACGUUAGUGCUAGCUGUGGCAGUGGCGUACAAGCUAGCUCACGUUAGAUAAUUUAGUUCGGGGCCCUGUUUCAGGUUGUUAACACUGAGAUAAGGUGAAACUCUUGGUUUUUCAGUUCCAGAAAGAGAGUCCAUAUAAAGCAAUAAUAAAUAUGUAUGUGAGUUUGUCACACCACAGAAAACUGUGUUAUUAACCACCCAGCCAAAUUUUAAUGAUUAAAAAAAUCACCAAGUAAGAAAAAUAAGUUAUCAAAAUCUUGAAAAAAUGAGCAGUAUUCUCUGCUCUCAAAUGCUUCAGGUGUGUCCACUGAGGGCGCUGAAACCACGUCCACUCGCAGGAAAGCUGCGCCCUUCUUAACUGUCAAAUAGCUACAACAAAAAUAGAUGCUCCCUCCAGCAGCUUAAUUGGAUUCACACAGCCAUACAAGUUUGAGCCUCCAGAGCCAGAAUCCAGUUCAGAGGACAAUGACCAGCUACUCGAGAAUCAACCUCGUCCCUCUCAGUCUGCAACAGAAGGGUACACCUGUGGAGAAUGCAGGACAAUGCCCACAUAGGAUGAGAAUGUCUGCUGCAAAGACCUUAAUGCUGUUCAAAAUAGAUGUGGAGAGCUUCCUGAAGAGCCACAGUGCAUGACUCUUCCUCCAGGCCUUGAGCCUGUCUGCCUGAACCCCUACUCCUUGCAAAAUGCCAUAAAAACCUACCAGGCAGACCAUGGGCCACUGGAGAUGAAGGAAAGUAAUCAUGCUCGCUACCUGGCCUACAGAUGUUUUGUUUCCUGGUGCUGGGGAUACCUGGGAAAGCACAACAGGGUUGUCAUACCUUCUUGUGUUGUGCUCCAUAUUCAUCAGGAGUACCCGGAUGAAGAAGGGGACUACACAGGCUGGUGAGGCGCUAGUGCAAGGAUGGACUGAGGCAGGAGGUAGGCUGGAGGAAGACAAAGAUGAAGAACCUUACUGUCUGUGUGAAAGGGUUUAGGUUCUUACCACAGUAGUAACAUCAGUGUGAGCUGCAUUCCAUGAGUGUGACAGGAUCUGUGUGUGAUCUGUCUCUUAACAUCACAGACAUUCACAAAGACAAACUAAGAACCUGACCUCUCAACAUACCUGUAUUC